rnacentral:lncRNA from 1 species
AACUUCUUCCUUGUCGUGUUACAAUUUCUGUUGACUCAUCCCAGCUCAGGGGAUGCAGAGCCGCAGGAGUACACAAAAUGAUAAGGUUUUCCUUUCAAUUUAAAAGUCAUGUUUGAAGCAUUUCAUUAAGAAAUUGUAGAGAAAAACUCAUCUCUCAUUAAACAUGAUAGGAAAGGCUUCAGACAUACUUUUUCCAUUCAUCUUCUCAUUAUGGGAAAUGCUGCUGCCUGUGUCACUCAGGUAUAAACUAAAAGGUCAGUUCUUUAGCAAGGAGGCUUUGUAAUCUGUUAGAAAACACGGUGACAACACCCCCAGUGCAUCCUCCUGAUUGUCGCUUCAGUUGGCCCAUGACUUCUCUCUCCCUGCUCCAUACAAUGCAGUUGCAUUUUUGAGGAAAAAAGUUUCUCUUUUUUCUCACUGUUUAGAUUCUCCUAAGCUUAAUAUUUUUAAAACGUUAGCUCCAUCUCACCCCUAAUCCAAGAGAUCCUCAUCUACGUCCCAGAGUACAGGUUGAUGAUGAUUCCCAGUAUCAUCUCCAAGCACAUCACCUCCAGAAACUUUUCUCAAAUGUUCCUUUGACCCCUCCCUACAGGCCAUCAAGGCCCACUGCUCCUGCCUCUGGAUGUUUUAACCCCCAACUUGUCUAUAACACUCACUUUCUAUGACAGUAUAUUAUGGGCAUAUGCAUGUGCAGACGAGUAAAGGUGGAUGCAGGUAGGCACAGGUGAGUGAAGGUGAGCGCAGGUAGGCACAGGUGAGUGAAGGUGGGCGCAGGUAGGCACAGGUGACUGAAGGUGGGUGCAGGUAGGUACAGGUGAGUGAAGGUGGGUGCAGGUAGGCACAGGUGACUGAAGGUGGGUGCAGGUAGGUACAGGUGAGUGAAGGUGGGUGCAGGUAGGUUCAGGUGAGUGAAGGUAGGCGCAGGUAGGUGCAGGUGAGUGCAGGUAGGCACAGGUGAGUGAAGGUGGGCGCAGGUAGGCACAGGUGAGUGAAGGUGGGUGCAGGUAGGCACAGGUGAGUGAAGGUGGGUGCAGGUAGGUACAGGUGAGUGAAGGUGGGUGCAGGUAGGUUCAGGUGAGUGAAAGUAGGCACAGGUAGGCGCAGGUGAGUGAAGGUAAGUGCAGGUAGGCACAGGUGAGUGAAGGUGGGCGCAGGUAGGCACAGGUGAGUGAAGGUGGGCACAGGUAGGCACAGGUGAGUGAAGGUCGGUGCAGGUAGGUACAGGUGAGUGAAGGUGGGCACAGGUAGGCACAGGUGAGUGAAGGUGGGUGCGGGUAGGCACAGGUGAGUGAAGGUGGGUGCAGGUAGGUAAAAGUGAGUGAAGGUGGGCGCAGGUAGGCACAGGUGAGUGAAGGUGGGCGCAGGUAGGCACAGGUGAGUGAAGGUGGGUGCGGGUAGGUACAGGUGAGUGAAGGUAGGUGCAGGUAGGCACAGGUGAGUGAAGGUGGGUGCAGGUAGGUAUAGGUGAGUGAAGGUGGGUGCAGGUAGGUAUAGGUGAGUGAAGGUGGGCACAGGUAGGUACAGGUGAGUGAAGGUAGGUGCAGGUAGGCACAGGUGAGUGAAGGUGGGUGCAGGUAGGUGCAGGUGAGUGAAGGUGGGUGCAGUAGGUACUGGUGAGCAAGGGUGGACACAGGUAGGUACUGGUGAAUGAGGGUGGGUGCAGGUAGGUUCAGGUGAGUGAAGGUGGGUGCAGGUACAUACUGGUGAGUGAAGGUGGGUGCAGGUAGGUUCAGGUGAGUGAAGGUGGGUGCAGGUAGAUACUGGUGAGUGAGGGGGGGUGCAGGUAGGUUCAGGUGAGUGAGGGUGGGUGCAGGUAGGUACUGGUGAGUGAGGGUGGGUGCAGGUAGGUGCAGGUGAGUGAAGGUGGGUGCAAGUAGGUGCAGGUGAGUGAGGUAGGUGCAGGUGGUAGAGAAGGGUCCUGCCUCAGAAUGCCUAUCCAUUCAUUCCAUAAAUGACCACUUCUUGAGUGCUAUUUGUUAAAACUUUCCCAAGACCCCAGGACACUGCUAAAUAAUCUAUACAGGAAGUCUGAUCUUGGAAAGCUUACAAACUAUCCGAAGGGGUAGGCAUUAAAUCAAGUGCUCAAUUUAUUAGCUAUUUGCAGUGGUUAAAAGUGCCUCAAGGAAGAAAAACAAAAUUCUUGAAAAUGUUUCAAAACCAAACCUGACCAAAUCUCAGGACAAGGGUCAAGGGAGGCUCUCUGAGGACAUAUCAGAGGAGUGGGUGUUGGAUGGUCAAGGAAAAGAAAAGAAUGUCAGAACAGCAUGUACACGGCCCCGAAGCAGCAUGGAGAUGGGUUCUUUUCUGCAAAACUUUCAAAACCAGCACUGCUGAACCAAUAAGAAAGUGAGUCUGGUAGAGGCUACACAGAGGUUCUAAAUCCAUGCAACCUACGUGUUCAUCCAUCAACGAGUAAGUGGAUAAAGAAAAUACCGUCCAUAUACACAAUGGAGUACUAUUCAGCCAUAAAAAAGAAUGAGAUCCAGUCAUCUGCAACAACAUGGAUGGAACUGAAGAUCACUAAGUUACAUAAACCAGGCACAGAAAGACAAACAUCACAUGUUCUCACUUAUCUGUGGGAUCCAAAAGUCAAUACAAUUGAACUCAUGGACAUAUAGAGUAGAAGGAUGGUUACCAGAGGCUGGGAAGGGAGGUAGGGAGCUGUGGGGGAGGUGGAGAUGGUUAAUGGGCACAAAAAAUAGUUAGAAAGAAUUAAUAAGAUGUACUAUUUGAUAGCACAACAGACUACAGUCAAUAAUAACUGUACAUUUUAAAAUAAAUAGUAUAAUCGGAUUGUUUGCAACUCAAUGGAUAAAUGCUUGGGA